GUGGCCCAGGAGCUGUACUUUCUUGGUAUCAGUAGUUUAAAGAUUUUUAACAAUGAACUAUUGUGGCCACCAACCUAUGCGGCCAAGGCAUGGAUAUUAGGCAGGUAAACACGGCCAUGUACCACCACCUGCCAGAGGAUCCCCACACCUACCUGUAUCGGUUGCAGCCAUGGGAGAGGACGCAGCCAUUCGCAGAGCCUGAUGCAGGUCUCCCACCCAUGAACCAGGUGAUCAUACAUGAGCUGAGCUGAAAUCAAAAGUGGGAGGCCCAACCGACUAGCCCACCCA